UAGCCAUUUGCGUGAUUUUUGAAUGAACC
rnacentral:piRNA from 1 species